UUCACCAUCCUGAAAACCCCCCAGGUGACAGUAGGGGCAGGAUUUCCCCCAUGUCCCUUCCCAUCCUGAGGAUAUGUUUUUUUCAGAGUCCAAUUUAGGCUCAAAUCCUGGCCCUGGGAUCUUCUUUGUGACAGGUAUCCUCAGUUUCAUCUUUGGACCCUGCAUCUUCCUUUUUCUCAUUUUCCUGGUGAUUCGGCCAUGCAGAAAGAAAAUAAAAUGCGAAGGUUGGUUUUCACGGUCUUCAGAGAAAGAAGGUCUGGAAGAGGAGAAACUCCUGAAUGAAGAAGAGCUUGUAUGUGAGAAUGUUGAGAUUGGAGUCAAUGGGGUGUCAUUUGAAGAACAAAUAUGCCUGUAUUGAAACUCCUAUUACAUUUUGGUCCAGGCUAGACGUUCAGAAAAUAUCACUGCUUACAUCAGGAUAGGACAGUGCUAACUUGUGGUCUAUCUUUAUAUAAAAUGUCCAAUAAUAAAUACUUGGGUCCUUCCAGACCA